rnacentral:tRNA from 1 species
UGGCCCUGUAGCUCAGAGGAAGAGCGCCGGUCUGUCGAAUCGGAGGUCGCGGUAUCGUAAUCCGUCAGGGUCGCAAU